AUUGAACGCUGGCGGCAGGCCUAACACAUGCAAGUCGGGCGGGCGGCGGACGGGUGAGUAAUAGAUGGGGAUCUGCCUGAUGGAGGGGGAUAACUACUGGAAACGGGAGCUAAUACCGAAUACCAACAGCUGAACCCAUAUGGGAUUAGCUUGUAGGUGAGGUAACGGCUAACCUAGGCGACGAGCCCUAGCUGGUCUGAGAGGAUGAUCAUCCACACUGGGACUGAGACACGGCCCAGACUCCUACGGGAGGCAGCAGUGGGGAAUAUUGCACAAUGGGCGCAAGCCUGAUGCAGCCAUGCCGCGUGUAUGAAGAAGGCCUUCGGGUUGUAAAGUACUUUCAGUCUGGAGGCGUUACCGACAGAAGAAGCACCGGCUAACUACGUGCCAGCAGCCGCGGUAAUUC
rnacentral:rRNA from 1 species